rnacentral:rRNA from 1 species
CCUACGGGAGGCAGCAGUGGGGAAUAUUGCACAAUGGGGGAAACCCUGAUGCAGCGACGCCGCGUGAGUGAAGAAGUAUUUCGGUACGUAAAGCUCUAUCAGCAGGGAAGAAAAAAAGUCCUUUGGACUUUGGACGGUACCUGACCAAGAAGCCCCGACUAACUUCGUGCCAGCAGCCGGGGUAAUACGUAGGGGGCAAGCGUUAUCCGGAUUUACUGGGUGUAAAGGGAGCGUAGACGGCGGCGCAAGUCUGGAGUGAAAUGCCGGGGCCCAAACCCGGAACUGCUUUGGAAACUGGGCAGCUGGAGUGCAGGAGAGGUAAGCGGAAUUCCUAGUGUAGCGGUGAAAUGCGUAGAUAUUAGGAGGAACACCAGUGGCGAAGGCGGCUUACUGGACUGUAACUGACGUUGAGGCUCGAAAGCGUGGGGAGCAAACAGGAUUAGAUACCCGGGUAGUC